AGCGGCUGUCACACCUGAUCAAAUCACUGCCCAAUGAGCUCAAGAACUCUGCUCAAUAUCCCACCAAUGACUAUACUGGUGUUUUAGGGCAAGGCAGACAGAAACACAGGCACUGGCACAUAGCCAGUGGAGGAUGGAAAGUUGCAGUGCACAGACAUUCCCUUUCCAGCCCCUCCAGGUCACAUUCUCAGCUCCCGAAGCACGAAAACAUUGGCAGCUCCAGUGACAUUAAUAAUCACAAACACACUUGAAUGCCUGAAGUGAUUUACCCUUCUUCAGUCCUUUUUCAUUUCAUCUAUAGCUUUUCAGGCUCCCAAGAAACCAAAGGAAGAAAAAAGCAAAACUAACGAAGAGGUCAAAUAUCAGCCACCCAGGUUUUGUUUGUGCCAUUCUGGAGAGGUAAAUGAAUUAGAGUAACAGCAAAUGUUAAGCUAAGAGCAAAGCUCACCAAAAAAGGGACUGUCCCACGGAAUAACAUCAGGACUUGCACAGAGGCAUCCACCCAACCCUCCUCUAACACAUGCUCUUUUCAGCAGCCAGGGCUGGCUCUGAACCAUUAAAGAACAGUCCUGAGAGACCAGCAGUCAUGGGCAAUCCACGCAUUUUAUUUUCCAGGCAAUCUAUUGUAGCUCACGGAAAACAUGACAAAUGUGCCCCCCUAGAUAUAUAUGCCCUAGAGAGGCAAGAGAUUUGCUUUCAUGUCCUGCACCAGGACUGAAUCACAGAACAAGUGGCUCCCAGCUGCCCUUGCAGCUGGCAAAGCAGUUCAUUUUCAAGAUGUAGUUCACAGCAGGCAAAAUGGCAACAUCUCUAUUUGGCUGUAGAGAUAUUGCAGCAUUUUAUAAAAUUGACAUACUUUCCAGCAUCCACUAAAAAGAAGUCACCAUUUCCACUUCAAAGCAGAUUUAUAUCUUGCCAAA